GACGAAUGCUGGCGGCGUGCUUAACACAUGCAAGUCGAGCGGAAAGGCCUCUUCGGGGGUACUCGAGCCGCGAACGGGUGAGUAACACGUGAGUAAUCUGCCCUUCACUUGGGGAUAACUUCCGGAAACGGUGGCUAAUACCCGACAUGACCUCUUCUCGCAUGAGAUGGGGGUGGAAAGUUUUUUCGGUGGGGGAUGUGCUCGCGGCCUAUCAGCUUGUUGGUGGGGUAAUGGCCUACCAAGGCUUCGACGGGUAGCCGGCCUGAGAGGGUGACCGGCCACACUGGGACUGAGACACGGCCCAGACUCCUACGGGAGGCAGCAGUGGGGAAUAUUGGACAAUGGGCGGAAGCCUGAUCCAGCAACGCCGCGUGAGGGAUGACGGCCUUCGGGUUGUAAACCUCUUUCAGUACCGACGAAGCGAGAGUGACGGUAGGUACAGAAGAAGCACCGGCCAACUACGUGCCAGCAGCCGCCGUAAGAC
rnacentral:rRNA from 1 species